rnacentral:tRNA from 1 species
GCAUUGGUGGUGCAGAAGUAGAAUUCUUGCCUUCCAUGCGGGAGACCUGGGUUCGAUUCCCAGCCAAUGUA